rnacentral:rRNA from 1 species
GUGCCAGCCGCCGCGGUAAUUCCAGCUCCAAUAGCGUAUAUUAAAGUUGUUGUGGUUAAAAAGCUCGUAGUUGAACCUUGGGCCUGGCUGGCCGGUCCGCCUCACCGCGUGCACUGGUCCGGCCGGGCCUUUCCCUCUGUGGAACCCCAUACCCUUCACUGGGCGUGGCGGGGAAACAGGACAUUUACUUUGAAAAAAUUAGAGUGCUCCAGGCAGGCCUAUGCUCGAAUACAUUAGCAUGGAAUAAUAAAAUAGGACGCGCGGUUCUAUUUUGUUGGUUUAUAGGACCGCCGUAAUGAUUAAUAGGGACAGUCGGGGGCAUCAGUAUUCAACUGUCAGAGGUGAAAUUCUUGGAUCAGUUGAAGACUAACUACUGCGAAAGCAUUUGCCAAGGAUGUUUUCAUUAAUCAGGAACGAAAGUUAGGGGAUCGAAGACGAUCAGAUACCGUCGUAGUCUUAACCAUAAACUAUGCCGACUAGGGAUCGGACGGUGUUAUUCAUGACCCGUUCGGCACCUUACGAGAAAUCAAAGUGCUUGGGCUCCAGGGGGAGUAUGGUCGCAAGGCUGAAACUUAAAGAAAUUGACGGAAGGGCACCACCAGGGGUGGAGCCUGCGGCUUAAUUUGACUCAACACGGGGAAACUCACCAGGUCCAGACACAAUAAGGAUUGACAGAUUGAGAGCUCUUUCUUGAUUUUGUGGGUGGUGGUGCAUGGCCGUUCUUAGUUGGUGGGGUGACUUGUCUGCUUAAUUGCGAUAACGAACGAGACCUUAACCUGCUAAAUAGCCCGCAUUGCUCCGGCAGUGCGCUGGCUUCUUAGAGGGACUUU